AUACGGAGGAUCCGAGCGUUAUCCGGAUUUAUUGGGUUUAAAGGGUGCGCAGGCGGCCAUUUAAGUCAGCGGUUAAAUCGUGGGGCUCAACCCCAUUCUGCCGUUGAUACUGGGUGGCUUGAUUGCGGUCGAGGUUGGCGGAAUUCGUUGUGUAGCGGUGAAAUGCAUAGAUAUGACGAAGAACACCGAUUGCGUAGGCUGCUGACCAGACCGCAAAUGACGCGCCUUCACGAAAGUGCGUGGAUCGAACAGGAUUAAAUUCCCUGGUAGUCCGCACACUAAACGAUGAAUAAUUGGUUUCGGCGAUAUAAUGUCGGAGGCAAAGCGCACGCGAUAAGUGAUCAACCUGGGCACUCCGCCGGCAACGGUGAAGCUCAAAGGAAUUGACGGUG
rnacentral:rRNA from 1 species